rnacentral:rRNA from 1 species
UACGUAAGAGACUAGUGUUAUUCAUCUUAAUUAGGUUUAAAGGGUACCUAGACGGUCAAUAUAGCUUCUAUAAUGUUAGUACUUGACUAGAGUUUUAUGUAAGAGGGCAGUACUUGAGGAGGAGAGAUGAAAUUCUAUGAUACCAAAGGGACUCGGUAAAGGCGAAGGCAGCCCUCUAUGUAGAAACUGACGUUAAAGGACGAAGGCACAGAGCACAAACAGG